rnacentral:rRNA from 1 species
CCUACGGGAGGCAGCAGUGGGGGAUAUUGGACAAUGGGGGGAACCCUGAUCCAGCGACGCCGCGUGAGUGAAGAAGUAUUUCGGUAUGUAAAGCUCUGUCAGCAGGGAAGAAAGAAAUGACGGUACCUGACCAAGAAGCCCCGGCUAACUACGUGCCAGCAGCCGCGGUAAUACGUAGGGGGCAAGCGUUAUCCGGAAUUACUGGGUGUAAAGGGAGCGUAGACGGUUAAGUAAGUCUGGAGGGAAAGGCCGGGGCCCAACCCCGGGACUGCUCUGGAAACUAUUGAACUUGAGUGCAGGAGAGGUAAGCGGAAUUCCUAGUGUAGCGGUGAAAUGCGUAGAGAUUAGGAGGAACACCAGUGGCGAAGGCGGCUUACUGGACUGUAACUGACGUUGAGGCUCGAAAGCGUGGGGAGCAAACAGGAUUAGAUACCCCAGUAGUC